GUCCAUGUAGUAUAAAUAUUACACUGGUCUUGUAAGCCAGAAACGGGGAUAACUUCCCCCAUAGACU
rnacentral:tRNA from 1 species